rnacentral:rRNA from 1 species
UACGUAGGGUGCAAGCGUUGUCCGGAAUCAUUGGGCGUAAAGCGCGCGUAGGUGGCUUCGUAAGUCCGUUGUGAAAGUCAAAGGCUCAACCUUUGAAAGCCGAUGGAUACUGCGGAGCUAGAGUACGGAAGAGGCGAGUGGAAUUCCUGGUGUAGCGGUGGAAUGCGCAGAUAUCAGGAGGAACACCGGUGGCGAAGGCGGGUCUCUGGGCCGAUACUGACGCUGAGAAGCGAAAGCGUGGGGAGCGAACAGG